AGUUAGAUCAAGACUAAAGCACUUAAACCUUAAAAUUAAAUCAAUUUAAAGAAAACAAUUAAGAAAGUACUACAGAUGAUAAGAAAGGGUGGCAAAAAGGAACGAAGGCACAGGAAUGAGGUUUGUGUAACAAUAUGCCGCUGGGGCCCUCGGCUUGCACCCUGCACUUUUAACAAAGUGAGUUUCGCGGGUGAAGCUCAAGUCGCCACCUCUCCCUUUCGGAACAGAAAGCCAAGUUGCUGCGUGAUAAAAGGACUAGAUUGGGAAACAUAACUGGCCCCUGGCUGCGCCAAUGGGGUUGCAGCGCGCGGGGCACAACCCCCAGGGUUACAAGGACCUCGCCGAGGAAGAGGCUGAACACACUACAAUGAGAAGACUGACCCGCCACCACCCUAGGGGUGACCGCUUGCUCUUUCUCAGUCCUGGGAGUGGGGUUAGCUUUCACCACUAGCCUGUUCGGGAAGUGAGCCGUGAGUUUCCUAAGGCUGAGGACUACAGUAGGUUCGCAGAGUUCGAGGUUUGCAAUGUUCGCAGCGCCGGGGCCCGGACACAGGAUAAGAUGUUACGGACACCUCACUGGGAAAGAAGGCGAAACCCGAGGAGAUCAGAGAUAGGGGCUGCCACCGUGGGUUAGGGAGGUGGGGAGCACGGCGGUUUCCGUAGGAGCUCGGGGGCUGGAGGUCGCGAUGCUGAGCAGAGGCGGAAAAGCGGAGCCGGAAUUGGUUCCCAAUGUCUUAGUGCUAUCAAAAAAAGAAGGGGGGGUAGUAAUCGUGGGGCCCCUCACACCCCGCUGCGGUACACUCACCCUCACCAAAGUCCUUCCGGAAGUCCAAGUUCGAAGAUGGCGCCGCCUGUCUGGUCGCCGUUUUAUGACGAAAUCUAGUAGCUACUCUUCAUUGACGUCCCCCCCCACCCCCAGUGCACAAGGUAAACACGUGGGCUUGGCCGGGAAUUUGUGCCCCAGGACGUUUUCUAUUAGACUAUGUAUUCCAUAAUGCAAUGCGGCGAGCGUCCCCAAGCCCGUCGCAGCGGGCGCCGCUCCCGGGCCUCCGAGGCGCGGGGGACGAGGCACGGCCUUAUGGGAAUUGCAGUGUCCCGAAGGGAAGACUGACGCCUGCGCGUUGACGGCCGUCGCGCCCCCGCGGGUUCCCACGCGGCUUCUAUGCGAGCCUCGAGAGUGCGGGCGCCCAGGCCCGAGUGUCGCUCCCGAGCGCUGAAUCCUGGCUUUGUGUGGAGACUACUGGCCCGUGGCUGGCAGGGCCGGGCAGACCAGAGAGUACUUACCCGCAACCCCCGCGCCGUCGAGCGGAAGCCUGGGAGACAAAGGAAUCCGUGCCUCGGGCCGCGGGGGAACGACUCCGGCUUCCGCCCCAAGGGCAGCCCCCAGCAGAUCCAGCCACUAGUCAUGAAUUAGUAAUUCAGAAUAGUAACUGAUGACUAAUGCCGAAGCUGAAGCUCCAAUACUUUGGCCACUUGAUGCAAAGAACUGACUCAUUGGAAAAGACCCUGAUGCUGGGAAAGAUUGAAGGCAGGAGGAAAAGGGGACAACAGACAGAGGAUGAGAUGGUUGGAUGGCAUCACCAACUCGAUGAAUAUGAGUUUGAUCAAGUUCUGGAAGUUGGUGAUGGACAGGGAAGCCUGGCAUGCUGCAGUCCAUGGGGUCACAAAGAGCUGGACACGACAUAGCAACUGAAAUGAACUGAUGAGAGACAGUUUUUUUAUAGAAGAUUAUCAGCUACUAAGCGUGGAAUGAUGUAAUUAGGGGAAAAAUUUACCAUGUUGCAUCCUCUAAUGAAAUAAUUCAGGCAACAAUCAAAAACGGAUCCAUUCAUCACUGAAAAUAGACUAACCAACCUGAUGUGAGGCAGUAUGAAACACAAUCAGCCUGGUUCCUGGAACAAGUUAAAUGUCAUGAGAAAAGAAGGCAGGCUGAGGA
ensembl:lncRNA